CACGUGACGACACAGCAACAAGACGCCUUCUUGGAAGCAGAGAGAUGGGACCGUCAGCAGGCACCAAACCUGCUGGCACCUUGAUCUUAGGCUUCCUGGCCUCCAAAACUGUAAAGAAAAAGAAUGAAGAAAAAGAGAAAGAAGAGAAAGGGAAGAUGCAACAGGCAGCAGAUGGUUGGGAAAAAAUUAAAAGAGAAGAUGAGAAAUAUGAAGAAAGAGGAGAAGAUUUGAAGAAAAUAAAGCAAAAUGUUGAUUUGACUUAAGUGAUGAAUGACAAUUUAAUGAGAAGACAGCAGUCUACAACCAACCAUGCUGACAUCCUGAUCUGGGACUUCCAGGCUCCAGAGUGUGAG
rnacentral:lncRNA from 1 species